rnacentral:rRNA from 1 species
GUUAGUUGGUGGGGUAAAGGCCUACCAAGACAAUGAUGCAUAGCCGAGUUGGAGACUGAUCGGCCACAUUGGGACUGAGACACGGCCCAAACUCCUACGGGAGGCUGCAGUAGGAAUCUUCCACAAUGGGCGAAAGCCUGAUGGAGCAACGCCGCGUGUGUGAUGAAGGCUUUCGGGUCGUAAAGCACUGUUGUAUGGGAAGAAAAGUUAAGGUAGGGAAUGACCUUAGCCUGACGGUACCAUACCAGAAAGGGACGGCUAAAUACGUGCCAGCAGCCGCGGUAAUACGUAUGUCCCGAGCGUUAUCCGGAUUUAUUGGGCGUAAAGCGAGCGCAGACGGUUGGUUAAGUCUGAUGUGAAAGCCCGGAGCUCAACUCCGGAAAGGCAUUGGAAACUGGUUAACUUGAGUGCAGUAGAGGUAAGUGGAACUCCAUGUGUAGCGGUGGAAUGCGUAGAUAUAUGGAAGAACACCAGCGGCGAAGGCGGCUUACUGGACUGUAACUGACGUUGAGGCUCGAAAGUGUGGGUAGCAAACAGGAUUAGAUACCCUGGUAGUCCACACCGUAAACGAUGAACACUAGGUGUUAGGAGGUUUCCGCCUCUUAGUGCCGAAGCUAACGCAUUAAGUGUUCCGCCUGGGGAGUACGACCGCAAGGUUGAAACUCAAAGGAAUUGACGGGGACCCGCACAAGCGGUGGAGCAUGUGGUUUAAUUCGAAGCAACGCGAAGAACCUUACCAGGUCUUGACAUCCUUUGAAGCUUUUAGAAAUAGAAGUGUUCUCUUCGGAGACAAAGUGACAGGUGGUGCAUGGUCGUCGUCAGCUCGUGUCGUGAGAUGUUGGGUUAAGUCCCGCAACGAGCGCAACCCUUAUUGUUAGUUGCCAGCAUUCAGAUGGGCACUCUAGCGAGACUGCCGGUGACAAACCGGAGGAAGGCGGGGACGACGUCAGAUCAUCAUGCCCCUUAUGACCUGGGCUACACACGUGCUACAAUGGCGUAUACAACGAGUUGCCAACCUGCGAAGGUGAGCUAAUCUCUUAAAGUACGUCUCAGUUCGGACUGCAGUCUGCAACUCGACUGCACGAAGUCGGAAUCGCUAGUAAUCGCGGAUCAGCACGCCGCGGUGAAUACGUUCCCGGGUCUUGUACACACCGCCCGUCACACCAUGGAAGUUUGUAAUGCCCAAAGCCGGUGGCCUAACCGUAAGGAGGGAACC